CGUGCCGUGGGGAAGUGGUCAUCCCAUCUGGCUCAUAACCAGAAGAUCGCAGGUUCGAAUCCUGCCGGCACUA
rnacentral:tRNA from 1 species